rnacentral:rRNA from 1 species
ACGAGACAAAAGCGAAGUGCUUGCACGGAACUUUUAGAAAGUGGCGAACGGGUGAGUAACGCGUGGGUAACCUGCCCUAUGGAAAGGAAUAGCCUCGGGAAACUGGGAGUAAUGCCUUAUAAUACAUUGAAGUCGCAUGGCUUUGAUGUUAAACGCUCCGGUGCCAUAGGAUGGACCCGCGUCCCAUUAGCUAGUUGGUGAGAUAACAGCUCACCAAGGCGACGAUGGGUAACCGGUCUGAGAGGGCGAACGGUCACACUGGAACUGAGACACGGUCCAGACUCCUACGGGAGGCAGCAGUGGGGAAUAUUGCGCAAUGGGGGAAACCCUGACGCAGCAAUACCGCGUGAGUGAAGAAGGUUUUCGGAUCGUAAAGCUCUGUUAUUGGGGAAGAAAAAAAGACGGUACCCAAGAAGAAAGUCCCGGCUAACUACGUGCCAGCAGCCGCGGUAAUACGUAGGGGACAAGCGUUGUCCGGAUUUACUGGGCGUAAAGGGCACGCAGGCGGUUUUUUAAGUCAGAUGUGAAAGGUACCGGCUCAACCGGUGACAUGCAUUUGGAACUGAAAGACUUGAGUAUUGGAGAGGCAAGUGGAAUUCCUAGUGUAGCGGUGAAAUGCGUAGAUAUUAGGAGGAACACCGGUGGCGAAGGCGGCUUGCUGGACAAAUACUGACGCUGAGGUGCGAAAGCGUGGGGAGCAAACAGGAUUAGAUACCCUG